rnacentral:rRNA from 1 species
CAGCAGCCACGGUAAUACGAAGGGGGCUAGCGUUGCUCGGAAUGACUGGGCGUAAAGGGCGCGUAGGCGGAUGGCAUAGUCAGAUGUGAAAUUCCCGGGCUUAACCUGGGGGCUGCAUUUGAUACGUGUUGUCUAGAGUGAGGAAGAGGGUUGUGGAAUUCCCAGUGUAGAGGUGAAAUUCGUAGAUAUUGGGAAGAACACCGGUGGCGAAGGCGGCAACCUGGUCCUUGACUGACGCUGAGGCGCGAAAGCGUGGGGAGCAAACAGGAUUAGAUACCCCUGUAGUCCCUGUCUCUUAUAC